UACGUAGGGUGCAAGCGUUAAUCGGAAUUACUGGGCGUAAAGCGUGCGUAGACGGUUGCGUAAGUCAGAUGUGAAAGCCCCGGGCUCAACCUGGGAAUUGCAUUUGAGACUGCGUAGCUAGGGUGCGGAAGAGGGAAGCGGAAUUUCCGGUGUAGCGGUGAAAUGCGUAGAUAUCGGAGGGAACACCAGUGGCGAAAGCGGCUUCCUGGUCCAGCACCGACGUUCAGGCACGAAAGCGUGGGGAGUAAACAGG
rnacentral:rRNA from 1 species